rnacentral:lncRNA from 1 species
CAAUCGAAAUGGGAUUAUUUUAUUUAAAUUCAGAGUCGCCACUUGGGAUAAUUAUGGUGUCCCAAGUCACCGGUUCAAAUCCUGAGUCGAGGAAAAGGUUGACUCUAUAUUACAGUCCGCGAACAAAAAAUCCAGGUAAGGAAUUUUGUUAACCCGGGAGAAGGUCGAAAAUUUGGGACUCGCGCGGAAUUCCAGUUUUAUGGCAGUAAAAUGCCAAAAAACAUAAUUUGGUCAUGGCGCGAAAAUUUGGGACUCGCGCGUAAUUCCAGUUUUAUGGCCGUAAAAUGCCAAAAAACAUAAUUUGGUCAUGGCGGGGCGGUGAAUAUGGUUCCUUAGGCUGUAUUCGACAUCCCGGAAAAAUUUUAGGCGAUACGGAUCCGGGGUCCCGGGCCCACGGCGAAAGGCGUGGGCUAUAGCACACCAAAAUUUGGGACUCGCGCGGAAUUCUAGUUUUAUGGCCGUACAAUGCCAAAAAAUGUAAUUUGAUCAUGGUGAGGCGGUGAAUAUGGUUCUUUAGGCCGUAUUAGACAUCCCGGAAAAAUUUUAGGCGAUCCGGAUCCGGGGUACCGGGCCCACGGCGGAAGGCGUGGGCUAUAGCCCAUCGAAAAUUUGGGACUCGUGCGUAAUUCCAAUUUUAUGGCCGUAAAAUGCCAAAAAAUGUAAUUUGAUCAUGGCGGGGCGGUGAAUAUGGUUCUUUAGAUCGUAUUCGACAUCCCGGAAAAAUUUUAGGCGAUCCGAAUCCAGGGUCACGGGCCCACGGCGGAAGGCGUGGGCUAUAGCACACGAAAAUUAGAGACUCGCGCGGAAUUCCAAAUUUAUGGCAGUAAAAUGACCAAAAAACAUAAUUUGGUCAUGGCGGUGCGGUGAAUAUGGUUCCUUAGGCCGUAUUUGACAUCCAGGAAAAUUUUUAGGCGAUACAG